GGAAGCCCCCCCAGAGGAGGUGGGGGAGGGGUCUCUCCCUGAGGGCUCCCCCCCCCCUCCCCCUCAAAAUGGGGGUCCCCGUGCGGGGGGGCGGGGCGCGGCCGCCGGUACCUUGUUUGUUCUCGUUCAGCUGCCGCUCGAACUCGUCGAAGUCGGACAUGGCGGCGGGCGCGGCGCGGCGCUCCCGGAGCCCUCCCGGCGCCUCCCGGCCCCUCCCGGUGCCUCCCGCUCCCUCCCGGCCGCGCUCAGGCCGCGGCGCCUCCGUCCGCGCUCGUCUGCGCUCGGCCACUUCCGGCCGCCGCGCUCGGCCACUUCCGGCGCCGCUCGGGCCGCGCUCGGCGCUUUCCGCCGGCGUUCGGCGCCUUUCCGCCGGAGCUCGGCCUUUUCCGUCACGCUUCGCGCUUUUCCGCCGCUUUCCGGCGCCGCUCGGCUUUUUCCGUCAGCGCUCGCCGCUUUCCCUCACGCCUCGUGCCUUUCCGCUAAUUUCCGCCGCGGUUCGGCGCUUUCCGGCAGCGCUCGGAGCUUUCCGUCGCCGGUCGCCGUUUUCGGCCGCCGUUCGCACGCUCGGAGCUUUCCCGUUACUCCUCGCCCCUUUCGGGUCACUUUUCGCCGCUUUCCGUCACUUUUCCCAGCUUUCCGUCCCUGUUGGAUUCCCCCCCCCGGGUCCCUCACGUCACUUCCAGCCCGCUCCACUUCCGGCGGCGCCGCCGGUAACACCGGGCCCGGUUGGCCCCGCCCGCUCCGGUUUGGCCCCGCCCCUUUCCCCUCAGGGCCGCUUUUGGCGGGAAGCGGCGGCCGCGAGGGCGCCCCCUGGCGGCCCCCGCCAAGUCUCGCGCGGUGCCCAAAUCUCGCGGGAUUUGCCGCCGUUCCUUCGCCGCUUUUCGCCUCUUUUUGGGGAGGUUUUUCCCGGUUUUUCCCUCAAAAUUCCCCCCGGAGACCCCCGGAGUGAGCCCGGAGGGCCUGGAGGGGAUCUGGGGGGGAUCUGGGGGGGAUCUGGGACUCCCGGGUGUUCCCGGGCUGAUUUUGGGGAUCCCCGGAGUGAGGGAAAUAAACGGGAAAAAUGGGAAAAUUCGGGAUUUGGAGGGGUCCCGGUUUGAGGAGGGGUCCCAAUUUGGGGAGGGGGUCACAGAUUU
rnacentral:lncRNA from 1 species